UACGGGGGGGGCAAGCGUUGUUCGGAAUUACUGGGCGUAAAGGGUUCGUAGGUGGCCAACUAAGUCAGACGUGAAAUCCCCAGGCUUAACUUGGGAACUGCGUCUGAUACUGGAGGGCUCGAGUGCGGGAGAGGGAUGUGGAAUUCCAGGUGUAGCGGUGAAAUGCGUAGAUAUCUGGAGGAACACCGGUGGCGAAGGCGGCAUCCUGGACGAGCACUGACGCUGAGGUGCGAAAGCGUGGGGAGCAAACAGG
rnacentral:rRNA from 1 species